CCUACGGGUGGCAGCAGUGGGGAAUAUUGCACAAUGGGGGAAACCCUGAUGCAGCGACGCCGCGUGAGUGAAGAAGUAUCUCGGUAUGUAAAGCUCUAUCAGCAGGGAAGAAAAUGACGGUACCUGACUAAGAAGCCCCGGCUAACUACGUGCCAGCAGCCGCGGUAAUACGUAGGGGGCAAGCGUUAUCCGGAUUUACUGGGUGUAAAGGGAGCGUAGACGGUCCUGCAAGCCAGGUGUGAAAGCCCGGGGCUUAACCACGGGACUGCCGUUGAAACUGUAAGGCUAGAGUGUCGGAGGGGCAGGCGGAAUUCCUAGUGUAGCGGUGAAAUGCGUAGAUAUUAGGAGGAACACCGGCGGCGAAGGCGGCCUGCUGGACGAUGACUGACGUUGAGGCUCGAAAGCGUGGGGAGCAAACAGGAUUAGAUACCCGAGUAGUC
rnacentral:rRNA from 1 species